rnacentral:snRNA from 1 species
GGAUGUGAGGGCGAUCUGGCUGUGACAUCUGUCACCCCAUUGAUCACCAGGGUUGAUUCGGCUGAUCUGGCUGGCUAGGCGAGUGUCCCCCUCCUCCCUCACCACUCCAUGUGCGUCCCUCCCGAAGCUGCGUGCUUGGUCGAAGAGGAUGACCAUCCCCGAUAGAGGAGGACCGUUCUUCGGUCAAGGGUAUACAAGUAGCUGCGCUCCCCUGCUAGAACCUCCAAACAAGCUCUCAAGAACUGUGAUAGCUGGUUGCUAUAGAAUGCUAUCUAAUCUUCAAAUGAGUGCUCUAUGGUAAUUU